rnacentral:rRNA from 1 species
UACAGAGGUCCCAAGCGUUGUUCGGAUUCACUGGGCGUAAAGGGUGCGUAGGCGGCGGAGUAAGUUGGGUGUGAAAUCCCGAGGCUCAACCUCGGAAUUGCAUUCAAUACUGCUUCGCUCGAGUACUGGAGAGGAGGCUGGAAUUUACGGUGUAGCAGUGAAAUGCGUAGAUAUCGUAAGGAAGGCCGGUGGCGAAAGCGAGCCUCUGGACAGUUACUGACGCUGAUGCACGAAGGCCAGGGGAGCAAACGGG